GGAGAGUUAGCCUAAUUGGUAAGGCAGUAGCUUCGAAAGUUACCGAGUUUAUACUCUUCAGAGUUCAAGCCUCUGACUCUCCG
rnacentral:tRNA from 1 species